UACGCAGGGGGCUAGCGUUGUCCGGAUUUAUUGGGUUUAAAGGGUGCGUAGGUGGUCGAUUAAGUCAGUGGUGAAAGCCAACAGCUCAACUGUUGAACUGCCAUUGAUACUGGUCGACUUGAGUAUAGAUGAGGUAGGCGGAAUUUAUGGUGUAGCGGUGAAAUGCAUAGAUACCAUAAAGAACACCGAUAGCAAAGGCAGCUUACUAAACUAUAACUGACGCUGAGGCGCGAAAGCGUGGGGAGCAAACAGG
rnacentral:misc_RNA from 1 species